AUCAGUGGCAGUAUCGUAGCCAAUGAGGUUUAUCCGAGGCACGAUUAUUGCUAAUUGAAAAUCAGAAAUCCAACUCAAUUUUUGUUUUAGGAAUUUAAUAGAAAAAUUUUUAAAUGAGAAAUGUAAGAGAAUACU